rnacentral:tRNA from 1 species
AAUAAAAUGGCUGAAGAUUAGGCGAUAAAUUGUAAAUUUAUUAAUGAAUAUUUUAAAAUUCUUUUAUUA